UUACGGUCAUAUUACGUUGAAACACCACUUCCCGUACGAUCACCGAAGUUAAGCAUUGUCGAGCCCUGGUCAGUACCUAGAUGGGUGACCGUUUGGCCAUACCAGAUACUGUAAG